rnacentral:rRNA from 1 species
GUACGCGAGCUGGGUUUAGAACGUCGUGAGACAGUUCGGUCCCUAUCUGCCGUGGGCGCUGGAGAAUUGAGGGGGGCUGCUCCUAGUACGAGAGGACCGGAGUGGACGCAUCACUGGUGUUCGGGUUGUCAUGCCAAUGGCAUUGCCCGGUAGCUAAAUGCGGAAGAGAUAAGUGCUGAAAGCAUCUAAGCACGAAACUUGCCCCGAGAUGAGUUCUCCCUGACUCCUUGAGAGUCCUGAAGGAACGUUAAAGACGAUGACGUUGAUAGGU